rnacentral:lncRNA from 10 species
CAGAAACAUAAUGGAAUUCAUUCAAGGUCAAGGAGCUAGUUAAAAACGUGAAAAUUGUCAGAAUUAAAAUGGAGGCAAUUGUGUUAAAAAUCCUGACAGAUGGAGCUCGGGAAAGCAAUGAAGAAAGGGUUCCCAUUCACGAAUGCCUGACAACAGGAAUUGUCAGAAAAGACUGCAAAACCACAACCUUGCACAAAGGCCAUUGCAACCUUGCACAAAAAAAAAUACUUCUGCAAGGAUAUCUGCCCAGCAACUGCCUAUCUGACUUCAAACUGGUGCCAUCCUUAUUAUUGAUCCUUGUAACCAGGAAUAAUUAUCUCGAAAUAAUUGUGUACUCCUCUUCAUUUUUCUUUAAAAACCAUUGCCUUUCUUUACCCUCCUGAAUAAGCACAUAGUUUACUACGGUAUGUGUAUUCCCAUUGCAGUACCCAUGCUAAAUAAAUAUCAUUUUCUUUCAGAGUGCUUAUUAUUUAGAUUAAUAAAAGCAACGAGGACCAGAACCAAAUAAGGUCUCCUUAAUUUUAGCCCAAUUAUUUUCAAAGUAACUCCUCAUUCCAAAUCCCCUUCUCAACCUACUUCCCUAUUCAAAUGCUUGACAGACAUUGAUGUGAGGGUGACAGCAAACAGGCAGGCAAGACAGAAAAGGCAGUAAGAGACAGAAGCAAUAGAUAGAGCUUAAAAUGGUAAAGCUCACGAUCGCUUACUCAGGAUUCAAUAUGAUUCACUGAUUUCUACAGAAGGGACAUGGGUGCGUCUGACGGAUUGAACGGGAACAUUGAUGCAAUGAGUAGCAAGUCUGAACAGGGCUGAACCAAAUCCAUCCAUCCAUGUCUGACCAGUUUCUCUUCUAGGUUAAGGGUUAGUUCCAGUCUUUGCCACAACUCCUCUUCCUCUUUUGUUCCAGAAAGUCAAAGCUCUGCAGUUAAGAAGAAAAAUACACCACUGAAACUUUCAGAUGCCUUGAGACAAGAUUCUUCUUCCAGAAUUCUAGUAUCAUUCCAAGGCUGGACUCUUCAGAAGUGAUUGCCUGCAAAUUUAGGAUGAGAACAAAAUCACAGUUCAAGGUGGAGUUUCCCUCUGUCACCCAGGCUGGAGUGCAGUGGUGUGAUGUUGGCUCACUGCAACCUCCACCCCCCGGGUUUCAAGCAAUUCUCCUGCCUCAGCCUCCUGAGUAGCUGGGAUUAUAGGCGCCCGCCACCAUGCCUGGCUAAUUUUUGUAUUUUUAGUAGAGAUGGGGUUUCACUAUGUUGGCCAGGCUGGUCUCGAACUGCUGAUCUCAGGUGAUCGCCCGCCUCAGCCUCCCAAAGUGCUAGGAUUAUAGGCGUGAGCCACCACGCCUAGCCUACCCUAAUAUACUUUCUAUGAGAGUUGUACUUUGAAUUUUUCCGCUUUACUAAAGUACUUCUGAUCUGACCACCAUACUUUUAGGGCUUGAAGCUUUGUUUCCAGAGCCAAAAAUAUGUGCCCAGUAAAAAUCCAAGCCCUGAGCCAUCAGGAAUUGACAGACGCCCUCAGAUUAAAAACAAACUCUAGAUGGAGCUUGCUGCUGUUGAAUCACUCUUCAUUCUUUGGCCUCCAAUUCUUUCUAUUACUAGAGCUCAGGCUUAUUUAUUUAAAGCUUGUCAUAUUUUAUCUAGCAUUUCAGGUGUUCCACACCAUGAGGGAUUUCUCUGUAUAUUUAAUCUGGCAAA